UACGUAGGGUGCGAGCGUUGUCCGGAAUUAUUGGGUGUAAAGAGCUUGUAGGCGGUUUGUCGCGUCUGCUGUGAAAACUCGGGGCUUAACCCCGAGCCUGCAGUGGGUACGGGCAGACUAGAGUAUGGUAGGGGGGACUGGAAUUCCUGGUGUAGCGGUGGAAUGCGCAGAUAUCAGGAGGAACACCGAUGGCGAAGGCAGGUCUCUGGGCCAUAACUGACGCUGAGAAGCGAAAGCGUGGGUAGCGAAC
rnacentral:rRNA from 1 species